CGACUUCAUCCAUCUUCAUUCAAAUUUCCAAUCUUUCUCUCAAAUCAAUUACAAGUGCAACAUCAAAUUCCAAUUCCAAAUUCAAGACAUCCAUUUCAAGUUUUCAAGAAUUCAAGAUUUACAACAAGGCAUCAUUGUUAUUUAAAAAUGAAUUUGAAUAUAUUUUACAAAUCUCCAAGUCUUAAAAUUCAAAUCACAAAUGAAAACUGCAAUGUUACAAAAAAAGUCGCAAUAAUACAAAAAUUCCUAAAGAAUGUAAUUUUCUUCAUCUUCAAGUCUUCACCAAGCACUUCAGGCCGCUCUUCAUCAAUUUUCUCCAUCGUCCAAUUUGCUCGUACAUGUAAACAAAAAGAGAGAAUUAGUUAG